CCUACGGGAGGCUGUAGUGGGGAAUAUUGGACAAUGGGGGCAACCCUGAUCCAGCCAUGCCGCGUGUGUGAAGAAGGCCCUCGGGUUGUAAAGCACUUUCAGUGAGGAAGAACGCCUGGUGGUUAAUACCCAUCAGGAAAGACAUCACUCACAGAAGAAGCACCGGCUAACUCCGUGCCAGCAGCCGCGGUAAUACGGAGGGUGCGAGCGUUAAUCGGAAUUACUGGGCGUAAAGCGCGCGUAGGUGGCUUGAUAAGCCGGUUGUGAAAGCCCCGGGCUCAACCUGGGAACGGCAUCCGGAACUGUCAAGCUAGAGUGCAGGAGAGGAAGGUAGAAUUCCCGGUGUAGCGGUGAAAUGCGUAGAGAUCGGGAGGAAUACCAGUGGCGAAGGCGGCCUUCUGGACUGACACUGACACUGAGGUGCGAAAGCGUGGGUAGCAAACAGGAUUAGAUACCCUGGUAGUC
rnacentral:rRNA from 1 species